AUGCCAUGAUGAUGACAUCUUCUAAGCAAUUCUUUAAAUCUCUCUUAAGCCUCAUCCAAGCUCUCAUCUUCAAGUUGGUGAAAUGAAGUGAUCUCAUUCCGCGUUU
rnacentral:snoRNA from 1 species